rnacentral:ncRNA from 1 species
AGAAUCCCGCCUGAGAAGGCCUAGCCAGUCACUCAGUAUCCAGCCUUGGGACUGAAGCGGUAACGCCAGGUCUAAGCGUAGGCAAGAAAGGUAGUAGGCCGAAAGCACAAGCUGAAGAUGUAGAACCCCGAAAUGGUUGAUAAUGGGAAAGGUUGAUGUAUGGGACGAGCAGAAGACAACACUGAGUCUAGCGAAGAAGGCGAGUUAGACGCGGCGCCCCGGGGUCGAAGGUCU